GCUUGUCUAUGAGGGGGGUUAAUAACCAAUCAGAGGGCUUGUCUAUGAGGGGGGUUAAUAACCAAUUAGAGGGCUUGUCUAUGAUGAGGGUAAUAACCAAUCAGAGGGCUUGUCGAUGAGGGGGGUAAUAACCAAUCAAAGGGCCUGUCUAUGAGGGCAGUGUCUGUCCCACUAACAGCUCUACAGAUGGUCAUACUACCAACAAAUUAUAUGUUGAUAAGAAACUGCUUGCUAAGGUAAGGAUAAGGGUUAGGAUAAGGGUUAGGACUAGGACUAGGUUAAGAGUUAGGGUUAGGUUUAGAAUAAGGGUUUGGAUAAGGGUUAGGACGGACUAGGUUAAGAGUUAGGGUUAGGUUUAGAAUAAGGGUUAGGGUAAGGGUUAGGACUAGGACUAGGUUAAGAGUUAGGGUUAGGUUUAGAAUAAGGGUUUGGAUAAGGGUUAGGACUAGGACUAGGUUAAGAGUUAGGGUUAGGUUUAGAAUAAGGGUUUGGAUAAGGGUUAGGACUAGGACUAGGUUAAGAGUUAGGGUUAGGUUUAGAAUAAGGGUUUGGAUAAGGGUUAGGACUAGGACUAGGUUAAGAGUUAGGGUUAGGUUUAGAAUAAGGGUUUGGAUAAGGGUUAGGACUAGGACUAGGUUAAGAGUUAGGGUUAGGUUUAGAAUAAGGGUUAGGAUAAGGGUUAGGACUAGGACUAGGUUAAGAGUUAGGGUUAGGUUUAGAAUAAGGGUUUGGAUAAGGGUUAGGACUAGGACUAGGUUAAGAGUUAGGGUUAGGUUUAGAAUAAGGGUUAGGAUAAGGGUUAGGGUUAGUAAAUAGUUUAAAAGUUACUGAUAGUCAGUAGAUAGUCAAUCUGUAGAUGUUCUACAGCGUACCCAAACAAAGUCUUACCAGUUGCUGAUAACACACGCACACAAACACAUAUACACAUACACACACUCUGAACGACUGGCGUCUGACAGAUUUACUCACUUGAACCACGCG
rnacentral:lncRNA from 1 species